rnacentral:rRNA from 1 species
UACGUAGGUGGCAAGCGUUGUCCGGAUUUAUUGGGUUUAAAGGGUGCGUAGGCGGUCCUAUAAGUCAGUGGUGAAAUACGGCAGCUCAACUGUCGAGGUGCCAUUGAUACUGCAGGACUAGAGUACUGUUGAGGUAGGCGGAAUGGACGGUGUAGCGGUGAAAUGCUUAGAUAUCGUCCAGAACACCGAUAGCGAAGGCAGCUUACUAAAGAGUAACUGACGCUGAGGCACGAAAGUGUGGGGAUCAAACAGG